rnacentral:misc_RNA from 1 species
UUUGCGUGGCUACACGGCGG